rnacentral:rRNA from 1 species
GACAGAGGCCCCAAGCGUUAGGCGGAAUCACUGGGCUUAAAGCGUGUGUAGGCGGCUCGUUAAGUGUCUUGUGAAAUCCCACGGCUCACCCGUGGAACGGCUGGGCAUACUGGCGAUCUUGGGCCAACUAGGGGCAGUCGGAACAAGCGGUGGAGCGGUGAAAUGCGUAGAUAUCGCUUGGAACGCCGAAGGUGAAAACAGACUGCUGGGGUUGCGCCGACGCUGAGACACGAAAGCCAGGGGAGCAAACGGG